rnacentral:ncRNA from 1 species
GCAGAGCUGCGGCCAUGCCCGCAGGUGCUAUUGAGCCGGACGAACCCCAAACAUUGGCAGGGGAGCAACAUCGGC